UGGGGAAUUUUGGACAAUGGGCGAAAGCCUGAUCCAGCAAUGCCGCGUGUGUGAAGAAGGCCUUCGGUUGUAAGCACUUUUGUCCGGAAAGAAAUCCUUGGCUCUUAAUACAGUCGAGGGAUGACGGUACCGGAAGAAUAAGCACCGGCUAACUACGUGCCAGCAGCCGCGGUAAUACGUAGGGUGCAAGCGUUAAUCGGAAUUACUGGGCGUAAAGCGUGCGCAGGCGGUUUGCUAAGACCGAUGUGAAAUCCCCGGGCUCAACCUGGGAACUGCAUUGGUGACUGGCAGGCUAGAGUAUGGCAGAGGGGGGUAGAAUUCCACGUGUAGCAGUGAAAUGCGUAGAGAUGUGGAGGAAUACCGAUGGCGAAGGCAGCCCCCUGGGCCAAAUACUGACGCUCAUGCACGAAAAGCGUGGGGGAGCAAACAGGAUUAGAUACCCUGGUAGUCCACGCCCCUAAACGAUGUCAACUAGUUGUUGGGGGAUUCAUUUUCCUUAGUAACGUAGCUAACGCGUGAA
rnacentral:rRNA from 1 species